GUGGGGCCAGACUCUUUCAUCUUGAGGGCACAGACAGGCGUCUCCUGUGUGUGAGGAAGGUUGCCCCACAGGUUAGAGUGUGUGUGUGUGUGUGUGUGUGAGGAAGGUUGCCUCGGUCGAAGCCUGUGAAGGUCAUCCUGAGGAGCGGUGCCAUAUUUCCCCACGGCAGGCUGGCAGUGAACGGAGAGUUGGCACAGAGACGAGACGGCAGCCGGGGUUCAGUCAAAGGUCACGGUUCAGUCAAAGGUCAUGGGUUCAGUCAAAGGUCAUGGGUUCAGCCAAAGGUCAUGGGUUCAGUCAAAGGUCAGGGUUCAGUCAAAGGUCAUGUCACCUCUUGUGGGAGAGUGGUGUCU
ensembl:lncRNA